UCGAACGAGAAAGGGUAGCAAUACCUGAGUAAAGUGGCGCACGGGUGAGUAACACGUGACUAACCUACCCUGGAGUGGGGGAUAACUGAGGGAAACCUUAGCUAAUACCGCAUAACACCUACGGGUCAAAGGAGCAAUUCGCUUCAGGAGGGGGUCGCGGCCGAUUAGUUAGUUGGCAGGGUAAUGGCCUACCAAGACGAUGAUCGGUAUCCGGCCUGAGAGGGCGCACGGACACACUGGAACUGAAACACGGUCCAGACUCCUACGGGAGGCAGCAGUGGGGAAUUUUGCGCAAUGGGGGAAACCCUGACGCAGCAACGCCGCGUGGAGGAUGAAGUCCUUCGGGACGUAAACUCCUUUCGAUCGGGACGAUAAUGACGGUACCGAGAGAAGAAGCCCCGGCUAACUUCGUGCCAGCAGCCGCGGUAAUACGAGGGGGGCGAGCGUUGUUCGGAAUUAUUGGGCGUAAAGGGUGCGUAGGCGGUUUGGUAAGUCUGAUGAGAAAUCUCUGGGCUCAACUCAGAGUCUGCAUCGGAAACUGCCGGGCUUGAGUAUGGGAGAGGUGAGUGGAAUUCCUGGUGUAGCGGUGAAAUGCGUAGAUAUCAGGAGGAACACCUGUGGCGAAAGCGGCUCACUGGACCAUAACUGACGCUGAUGCACGAAAGCUAGGGGAGCAAACAGGAUUAGAUACCCUGGUAGUCCUAGCCCUAAACGAUGACUGCUUGGUGUGACGGGUACCCAAU
rnacentral:rRNA from 1 species